GACGUAGGGCGCGAGCGUUGUCCGGAUUUAUUGGGCGUAAAGAGCUCGUAGGCGGUUUGUCGCGUCGUCUGUGAAAACCCACGGCUCAACUGUGGGCUUGCAGUCGAUACGGGCAGGCUAGAGUUCGGUAGGGGAGACUGGAAUUCCUGGUGUAGCGGUGAAAUGCGCAGAUAUCGUAAGGAAGACCAGUGGCGAAGGCGGGUCUCUGGACAGUUCCUGACGCUGAGGCACGAAGGCCAGGGGAGCAAACGGG
rnacentral:rRNA from 1 species